rnacentral:tRNA from 1 species
CUCUGAUAGCUCAGUUGGUAAAGAGUCUGCCUCUAAUGCAGGAGACCCCGGUUUGAUUCCGGGAUCAGGAA